CCAUUAGGCGGCGGCCUUAAACAUGCAGUCGAGCGGAGAGAGGUAGCUUGCUACUGAUCUUAGCGGCGGACGGGUGAGUAAUGCUUAGGAAUCUGCCUAUUAGUGGGGGACAACAUUUCGAAAGGAAUGCUAAUACCGCAACGUCCUACGGGAGAAAGCAGGGGAUCUUCGGACCUUGCGCUAAUAGAUGAGCCUAAGUCGGAUUAGCUAGUUGGUGGGGUAAAGGCCUACCAAGGCGACGAUCUGUAGCGGGUCUGAGAGGAUGAUCCGCCACACUGGGACUGAGACACGGCCCAGACUCCUACGGGAGGCAGCAGUGGGGAAUAUUGGACAAUGGGCGCAAGCCUGAUCCAGCCAUGCCGCGUGUGUGAAGAAGGCCUUAUGGUUGUAAAGCACUUUAAGCGAGGAGGAGGCUACUUUAGUUAAUACCUAGAGAUAGUGGACGUUACUCGCAGAAUAAGCACCGGCUAACUCUGUGCCAGCAGCCGCGGUAAUACAGAGGGUGCAAGCGUUAAUCGGAUUUACUGGGCGUAAAGCGCGCGUAGGCGGCUAAUUAAGUCAAAUGUGAAAUCCCCGAGCUUAACUUGGGAAUUGCAUUCGAUACUGGUUAGCUGGAGUGUGUGAGAGGAUGGUAGAAUUCCAGGUGUAGCGGUGAAAUGCGUAGAGAUCUGGAGGAAUACCGAUGGCGAAGGCAGCCAUCUGGCCUAACACUGACGCUGAGGUGCGAAAGCAUGGGGAGCAAACAGGAUUAGAUACCCUGGUAGUCCAUGCCGUAACGAUGUCUACUAGCCGUUGGGGCCUUUGAGGCUUUAGUGGCGCAGCUAACGCGAUAAGUAGACCGCCUGGGGGAGUACGGUCGCAGACUAAAACUCAAUGAAUUGACGGGGGCCCGCACAAGCGGGUGGGAGCAUGUGUUUAAUUCGAUGCACGCGAGGACCUUACCUUGCCUUGACAUAGUAGGACUUCCAGAGAUGAUGUGCUUCGGACUACUACAGUGCUG
rnacentral:rRNA from 1 species